rnacentral:rRNA from 1 species
GACGAACGCUGGCGGCGUGCUUAACACAUGCAAGUCGAGCGAGGCCCUUCUUCGGGAGGUGCCCUAGCGGCGAACGGGUGAGUAACACGUGGGCAACCUGCCCUCAGCUCUGGGAUAACUCCAAGAAAUUGGUGCUAAUACCGGAUGUGACCGCUGACCGCAUGGUCUGGUGGUGGAAAGAUUCAUCGGCUGAGGAUGGGCCCGCGGCCUAUCAGCUUGUUGGGGGGUGAUGGCCCCACCAAGGCGACGACGGGUAGCCGGCCUGAGAGGGUGACCGGCCACACUGGGACUGAGACACGGCCCAGACUCCUACGGGAGGCAGCAGUGGGGAAUAUUGGACAAUGGGCGAAAGCCUGAUCCAGCAAUGCCGCGUGAGUGAUGAAGGCCUUAGGGUUGUAAAGCUCUUUUACCCGGGAUGAUAAUGACAGUACCGGGAGAAUAAGCUCCGGCUAACUCCGUGCCAGCCGCCGCU